GACUCUUACGGGAGGCAGCAGUGGGGAAUAUUGCACAAUGGGCGAAAGCCUGAUGCAGCGACGCCGCGUGAGGGAUGACGGCCUUCGGGUUGUAAACCUCUUUCAGCAGGGAAGAAGCGCAAGUGACGGUACCUGCAGAAGAAGCACCGGCUAACUACGUGCCAGCAGCCGCGGUAAUACGUAGGGUGCGAGCGUUGUCCGGAAUUAUUGGGCGUAAAGAGCUCGUAGGCGGCUUGUCGCGUCGGAUGUGAAAGCCCGGGGCUUAACUCCGGGUCUGCAUUCGAUACGGGCAGGCUAGAGUGUGGUAGGGGAGAUCGGAAUUCCUGGUGUAGCGGUGAAAUGCGCAGAUAUCAGGAGGAACACCGGUGGCGAAGGCGGAUCUCUGGGCCAUUACUGACGCUGAGGAGCGAAAGCGUGGGGAGCGAACAGGAUUAGAUACCCUGGUAGUCCACGCCGUAAACGUUGGGAACUAGGUGUGGGUCACAUUCCACGUGGUCCGCGCCGCAGCUAACGCAUUAAGUUCCCCGCCUGGGGAGUACGGCCGCAAGGCUAAAACUCAAAGGAAUUGACG
rnacentral:rRNA from 1 species